UACGGAGGGUGCAAGCGUUGCUCGGAAUUAUUGGGCGUAAAGGGUGGGUAGGCGGUCUCAUUUGUCUGGGGUGAAAGCCUUGAGCUUAACUCAAGAAGUGCCUCGGAAACGGUGAGACUCGAGUGCUGGAGAGGGUCGUGGAAUUCCCGGUGUAGCGGUGAAAUGCGUAGAGAUCGGGAGGAACACCGAUGGCGAAGGCAGGUCUCUGGGCCAUAACUGACGCUGAGAAGCGAAAGCAUGGGGAGCGAACAGG
rnacentral:rRNA from 1 species